UUUUAGUGCAUACCGCGGCGGCUAAUUAUUUCCACUUAUUUCUCGGUUCAAGUUUCACCGUUCCAAAUCCCUAAAUCUGUGAUUCUCACUCACAAGAUUCAUUCCCUAAAUCUGCGAUUCUCACUCCACAAGCUCCAAUCCCUAAAUCUCUCAAAGCUAGUUCAGAUUCAUCUCAAGCUUCGUUCAAAUUUGUUAUUCAACCUCUCAAGCUUCGAUGAACCUUCAAGCUUCGGGUUCAACAUUUAGAUUCAGGCUUUGUUGAACCUUCAAUCUUCAAUCUCCAUUCAAAUUGAAAUUCAAUCUUCAAAAUCCAGGAAAUGCGAUUGGAGUUAUUCCUUAUCGGAUCCGUGUCAAAGAAGAGGAUGGUGAACUCUUUGUUGUUGAUGAAGUUAAUAGCAACAUUGUUCGAAUCACCCCACCACUGUCUCAAUAUAGUCGAGGAAGAUUGGUAGCUGGGUCAUUUCAGGGAUACACUGAUCAUGUGGAUGGAAAACCUAGUGAUGCUCGGUUUAAUCAUCCCAAAGGUAUAUCUAUGGAUGAUA